rnacentral:lncRNA from 1 species
AGAUAUUGGAAAAAGAAAUUGACAUAAUUGAAAUGAGAGAGAAUAAUAAAUAUUUAAGGGUAUAAUAAGAAAAAUAAUAUUAAUGAUUCAUUGAUAUUAUAAAACGACUUAUAUUAUGAUACAAAAUAUUUUCUCAAAACGACUUAUAAUAAAAAACGGAGGUAGUACACAUGAUCAGGAAAAGUACUCUGAGCUCCCUUCUCUAGCGAAUCACCUUGUUGUAGCCUUUAACUACUCUGCCGCGCUGGAGCUCAUCGUCGUCGGCGGCGGAUCUCCUAACAUGAAAAACCAUACAUCAAAACCUUCAUUUCACUUAGCUAUCAACGAAUCCCUUAACAGUUUCCUCCAAUCCGUGCCCUAAAUUAUAAAGUCAAGCAAAUCUUCCAAGAACCCUAAUCUACAAAUCUCAAAAUUAAAUCCUCCAAUGGAGGAAUCAAAGUCCCUUGGGUUAGGGUUUAAUUCCUCUAUUCAAGACCUACAUAAUGGUACACAGUUCAAAGGAAAACAGAGAGUAACAGGAACCUACCGAUGAAGGCCGACGUGAGACGAUUUCAAAGUACCACGAAAAAGAUGAAGAUGAUUUUGGUAAGUUCCUUACUAUGAACUUCUUCCUUCCUUUCUUCUUUUUCACAUGACUUCUUCUGUUGAAUCCUCUCUUCUCAAUCCGUGUGUGAUGAUGUGUGUAUAAUUGAGAGAGAAUGAUGAGGGUCUGAGAAAGAACGGUGAGGGAUCGAGGGAGAUGCUUAGGUGAUGAUCGUUGAUGAUUGGUGAUAACUGCUUUGUGAUUGUGUGAGUGGUGAGAGGAGCACAAGAGUGAGAGUGAUUUUAGAGAGUGUUCAAUAAUUGGAGAGUGAAUUCGGAGGAAAGUGAAAGAUGAAGAUUGAAUCAGAGAGCCCGAAAUGUGAGAGUUAUGCUUGAUUUAUAUAGUGAUUAAGAUGGUGGUUAGGGAUUGAAAGAGUUAUCUUCUAUUAGAUUAAUCAAGAGUAAUUUAGUUAUGAAACUCAUAUACUUUAGCACAGUGUUUAAAAGUUAGUCAGAACUAGUUGGUUAUGAUUUAGGGUGAUUUGAGUAAUUAUAGGAAUAGUUAGUUAAAAUGAAGUUAGUUAAUUCUAAGUUGGAAUUAAAUUUAUAACUUAGUUAUUAAAUCUGAAUUUGUUUUUAUUGUGAGAAUCCUGUUAGUUUUUGAAUCGAGUUUAAAUGAAUGCAUUCCUAUUAAAUUGAUUUUCUAUUGGACUGUUACUCAUUGUUAGUGUUACUUGCUGCUAUCAGUUAUCUCUUAAAGGUGUUAGUUAUUUAGAAUAGAUUGAUCAUUGAAUUGUUG